GUGGCCCUGGCCGAAGGUUUCCUUCUGAGUCAGGCAGAGGAGAGAAAGCAGGGAACGGAUCUCUUUGCAGAAAUGGACCUGGGUUCCUGUGAGACAGAGAGGCCUCCAUUGGACACCAGAGAGCGGCCACUGGGUGACAGAAUGAUGCCAGCAAAACCUCCUGAUCCGCCUUUUCAUGGGGGC